rnacentral:rRNA from 1 species
AUUGAACGCUGGCGGCAUGCCUUACACAUGCAAGUCGAACGGCAGCACGGGUGCUUGCACCUGGUGGCGAGUGGCGAACGGGUGAGUAAUACAUCGGAACAUGUCCUGUAGUGGGGGAUAGCCCGGCGAAAGCCGGAUUAAUACCGCAUACGAUCUACGGAUGAAAGCGGGGGACCUUCGGGCCUCGCGCUAUAGGGUUGGCCGAUGGCUGAUUAGCUAGUUGGUGGGGUAAAGGCCUACCAAGGCGACGAUCAGUAGCUGGUCUGAGAGGACGACCAGCCACACUGGGACUGAGACACGGCCCAGGCUCCUACGGGAGGCAGCAGUGGGGAAUUUUGGACAAUGGGCGAAAGCCUGAUCCAGCAAUGCCGCGUGUGUGAAGAAGGCCUUCGGGUUGUAAAGCACUUUUGUCCGGAAAGAAAUCCUUGGCCCUAAUACGGUCGGGGGAUGACGGUACCGGAAGAAUAAGCACCGGCUAACUACGUG